GCAGGGGUAUCCGAGCCAGGUCUAAGGAGCAGGGCUUAGAACCCUGUGGCUAAGGCCUUCGUGGGUUCAAAUCCCACCCCCUGCACCA
rnacentral:tRNA from 2 species